GUGUGUGUGUGUGUGUGUGUGUGUGUGUGUGUGUGUGUGUAAGCCCUGUCAAUUGAACCAGUGAAUAAGAAGGCACACGUGUAAAUUAACACGGGGUCGGCCAAAGGAACACGGAAAUGGUGGUGUUCAGUUGGAUUUUUAUAAAAAUCAACAUAAAAUCAUUAAAUAGGUCAUCUACCAUCAAAAUCCUGAAGUGUUUACUUAACAGGAUUUAUGAGAUGUGUGUAACAGGUGUGUAAAGAUUUAGCACUCGUCCAUCUUUUUUCCUUGCGAGCAUGGCUUACACACUUUCGAAGUGCGCAUGCUCUGUUUUAAAUGACGUCAUUUGUGAUAUCAUCAUAAUGGAGUUUUCCAGGGAAAGAAGUUGGCCCAUCUGAGGUAAGUAAACACGGUUGAAAGAAAUUUUUUGCAUAUUAUCAAUGGGUUUUUUAUUACAUAGACUGAUUAAAUGGUGUUUCAUACCGAUCGUGUUAUGUACAAGCGACAUGGUACCCGAGUUACUGAAAAUUUCGAUGAUAAAAGUGAUAAAUCUGCGUGAACUGUUUGUUUUUUUUUUUUUCUUUUUGAAAUAUAAUCUUUGCAGUUAAUGUACUCUGUAUACUAAGAAUUCAUAUUGAUUUUGGAUAGAAUUUCACAAAAAGAAAUGCGCCAGGUCCUUAGGAAUCAACCCCUCUACCCCACCCCCCACACGGCACAUUUUUUGGAUGAUUGGAACGAAUACCCCUUUACAUCUGUCUCCCUACUUUGAAGUUUUUUCCAACGCCAUGACAUAAAUAAUAAAUAGAUAAAUAAAUAAAAAUGCAAAAAUAAAAAAGAAAGAUGUAUAUGUAUUCGGAUUGGCAUGUUCCACUUUGUCCGGGUUGAAAUCCCUGAGGAUGCAAAUGUACAUUACGCCGCACUGCUUGCAGUACGUACAUGGUACAGGCGUACCGCAUAGGUAUGUAACUACUAAGACUAUAAACCAAACAGAAUAUGAUAUGUAAAACUAUUACUCUGAAUGCAUUUUACUUGUUUACAAUGUAGCCUGUCGGGCUGUGGUGUCACACGCGUGGUUUACACGUGCACUUUAGGUGGCAGUGGAGGAAAUUCGAACGAUGUAUGGAUUAUUAUCUCCUGGUAACUUUGGCAGUUACCUUUUGCUUUCAAUCUACUUUUUAAGAAUAAUUCAACCCUCACUAAUCAUUUCCAAGCUGCAUUUCGAUCUUGGAAGAAUGAUCUUCAGCUACAAUACAAAAUUAAGGGAUGAUGUUGUGUACUGAGUUUUUCUUGAUUGUUUACAUCUGUGAUUGUUUAUGUGAUGUAUAAACUGAUCAAGCUGUACAGUGUCAUGACAUAUAGUGGCAUAGCUUCCAUUUAUAUGCUUGCACAUCAUUUUGUCAGAAGAAGAAAUUUCUAAAAUUAAGAUUUUUAACAUGUAUAUGAUUAUAUGUGUUUGUUUGAUUUUAGUAUAAUACCUGUAGAGAAUAUUUCAGUAAUAUGAAGUGCGACACAUUUAGACGCAUGCAUGUGGUGUUUGAAGGUCUCAUCUGAAAGACCAGCAACUUUCUCUUUUGAAUGCUAAAUAUGACGAUGGAGCAUUCACCUCACUACCUACAUUUACACCCUAAAUAAAGUACAUUAGCAUGGCUUGAAACCAUGAUUUCUUCAUCAUGAAGCAAAUACUCUGUUACCACUGAGCUACCAAUUUUUUAACAUGAAUUCAUAGCUAAAAAAUUUAAAAAUUUAUAACUAAUUUUUUGGUUAAUUCCAUAAAUAUUAUUCCUCUCUCUAGACACAAUUCUGGGUAACCCCCUGUCUUUGGGGAUAUAAGCACAUCAUUUCUUUCAGAAUGGGACAAUGUCAGGAGAGCUUUUGUUAUUUGUUAUACUCUUAGUGUUGAUGGCAUCUAUGAACAACAGGAUAAUGUUUUUAGAUUAUUAUUUCUGAUAUCAUAUUUGUAAAUUGUUUAUGAGGGGUUGUUAAAGUUUGUGGACAAAAGGACACACUUAUUAAAAAUUCAAAGUUAUGAUAAGUAAAAAAUAUAGGAGAUGUGUAACAAGAUUGUAGAUUUGAACAUUUUAAUUUUAAUCAAUUUUUAUAAGUAUUGAUUUCAGAUACAUGUAUGACAUUGCAUGCUUGAUCGGGGAGGGGGGCUACAGUUAGAUAAUAUUCUGGUCAGCACAUUCGAUAAACUACAGUUGUACAUGGAACUCAUUAAAUCACUUCUUUUUCUUUCAGUGGUCUUCAACUUUUAAUCUCCAAGAAGGAAAUGUAAUUGAAAGAUGAAUAAAGUAUCCCUAAGAAUACCAGAAGAAAGGCUGUGUUGAGAAAAACAGCCCUUCCUCAGUACCUCAGAACUAGAUGAUAGCCCUUGUUACUUUAUGCUGAAUAUGACACAGUAUAGAAGAUCUGAUCAUGAAGAAGUUACACCAUUGAUACACUUGCCAACUGCCAAAACUACUUUCUGAUAGUAUGACGAGAUUAGAAGAUAUCAUGGUGUAGUCAUGACACAAACUGCAAAUCAAAGAUUGUCUUCCCCAGAGGAUGAACAGAGUGCUUCACAUGGAUAACAUUUCCUUUUCGAGUUUUGAAAUUAUCAAACAUAAUUUUGCAUCAAAGAGAAAAAGUGGCUUUGACAUAACCUAGAAAAUACAAUAUUCAUUAAAAAGAGCAUGGCACCAGGAUAGCUAGAUGCCCAUAUUCCCAGCAAAAUGAACCAGUCCUAAAGAGAGUCCACUAGAGAUGAAAUAAAACGCAUUAAAAUGUAUUGAGAAAAGAUUUGUCAGAAUGUUAUGCAUCAUGAUCAACAGAAAAGAACUUCACAGGUAGACCAAAGCUGACAUGGGAUGAGAUCCUAAAACGAGACCUAGAGUUUAGAGGAUUGGAUAGGAUCAAUCCACUGGGUCGCCAAGUGUGGAAGUACAAACUUCAACCUCGACAGGACAGCCAGGCCUCACCCUUGCAAAAAUAUUAAUUUGGUCUGGAUAGUCAAAAUGAGUGAUGAUGAUGAUAUCAAGGUCUGACACUGUAAGCUCAGUAAGGGUAGAUGCUGGCAAUGGAGCUGUUAAGCAAUACAACAAACAGGUUUAACAUUGAACAUGUUUAUAUACUUUUUUAGCUCACCUGAGCCAAAGGCUCAAAUGAGCUAUUCUGAUCACCUUUGCCUGUCGUCUGUCUCUCUGUAAACUUUUCACAUUUUCAUUUUCUUCUCCAGAGUAAACCACUGGGUCAGUUUCAAUCAAACUUGGUAUGCAUCAUCAAUAGAUAAAGGGUAUGCAAAAAUAGGGUGGGGUCAUUUAAAAAAACCUUUUCAAGAACCACUGGACCAGGAAAGUUGAAUUCACAUAAAAGGUUCCUGUUUUGUGCAAAUCAUGGUAUCCGGGGGUAGGGUGAGGUCACAAUCGAGGAUCAAAGUUUUACAUUCAUAUAUAGUACAGAUUCAAGUUUGUUAAAGGUCAUGGCUCACAGGGGUAGAGUGGGGUCACAAUAGGGGAUCUAAGUUUUAUAUGUGAAAUAUAUACAAGGAAAAUCUUUUAAAAUCUUCUCCUAAAAAACUAGAUGCAGAACUAAAACCAAAAUCGUAGCUCUUUGCGAAGAUAUUGGGGCAAGUCAGAGCGCUAGAGCUUCAGAUGAGCCCCUUAUUAAAAAUCUUCAAUUUACGGCACAGAAAAAAAGUGCAUGGUUAAGUCCCUCUAUCACUGCAUUCCUGCAUCGCUGUCUCAUGAAUUUAAUAUUAAAUAAUUCCUAACAUAUUUUCCCACUAUACUUGUUUCCAAGCAUACUUUCAAAUAUUCCUUAAACCCACAUAUAACCUAAAAACUCACAGCUUCAAGUGAUUUUCUUUGUUGAUGUAGCCAUGUUAGGUAUACGUAGCCAGUCAAUUUGAACCCCAGUUCAUUUCCAUACUCGUACUCAUUUUGAAACAUAAUGUCUGUGUGAACUAAUAUCCCCACAAAUAUUUUUAGUGAAAUAUUUUGGAUGAAAUCAUCCCAGUUGGGUUAAAUACUUAUUAUUCAAAACCUGUAGGUUUGAAUAUUGAACUAAUCUCACAGCUUUCUUAAGUUUGGUCCCCAUCCACUCCAGUCUGUUUUUACGCUUAACUAUUGAAAUGGAGUGUAAGGGAUCAGACUAGGCUUUAAUAGCAUUAUCAAUUUUCAAAAGCUUUAGAAAAAUUAUACAAUUUUAGGUCACUUGAGUAAACUCAGAUGACAUAUUGCUAUUGGUCUGCGUCCGUUGUAGUCCGUCGAUGUUAACAAUUGAAUAUUUUUAACUAAAUUCUAUAACUGAAAGGUGAAGAUAACGAACAGCGAUCAAUCUACGAUUCGAAUAACAGAAUUCUUUUCAAAUUUAGUAUGAAGCACACAAAUUUACAUUAAACCUUCCUGACAUAGUACAUAUUCAAGUUUGUUAAAAUCAUUUCCCGGGAGGUAUGGUGCGGUAACAAUAGGGGAUCAAAGUUUUAUAUGCUGAUAUAUUUAAAGGAAAAAUCUUUAAAGAUAUCUCUUGAACUAUUUAAGCUAGAGCUUUCAUAUCUUGUAUAUACAAUUUUUAUGGCAAAACAAAUCUGACCUAUUCAGUGUGUCCUGAACUACAUUGUGUUUAAGGUAAAACUUAUACGGUACCAAUUUUGAUGCACCAGAUGCGCAUUUCGACAAAUAAUGUCUCUUCAGUGGUUGGCGUGGGUUCGAAUCCUGCUUGCACCGGUAAGUGAGAAAGUUUCCCAGUUUACUCUCGGAAGGUCAGUGGUCUCUUCCCAGGUACAUUGUAUCUGGGUUCUCUCUUCCACCAAUAAAAACUGGGCACCACCAGAUAACUGAAAAAUUGUUGAGUGUGGCGGAAAACAGCUAAAACAAUCAAUCAUAUUAUGUUCUUUAACCUUGUGACCCUGAACUCUGAGUUUGACCUACUUUUAAGAAAGUAUAACUUAUUAAGUAUAUCCAGGACUAUUUUAGAUAGGGCUUCCAUGUAUUGUAUAUAGAUUACUUAUGGCAGAGUCUUUCAUAUCAUACCAAGACCUAUGACUUCAUACCUUGGUCUUAUCCAGAACAGCAAUAUCAUGCUUGUCAUAUCUUUGUGUUAUAUGAUUUCAUUUUAGUAAUGUUGUGUUCUUUAGAGCUAGGUUUGGGUCACAUUAUUCAUGAGAAUAAAGAUUGAUAAAAUAGCAUUUAAAAAUCAAAACAGCAGGGCCAAGGUGACUCAGGUGAGCGAUGUGGCCCCUGGGCCUCUUGUUGAUUUUGAUAUUUGUACAGAUAUCAUUUGUAUGAGAAAUGGAACUCUUUUUUUUUCUUUUACAAAUACAUGUAUUAUCAUAUGGAUCCAUCUGUGUUGAUUAUUUAAUCAAAGGACUACAUUCAAUGUAUUAAAUGCAAAUUUAUUGAUAUGUCUGUGGUUGAAUUACUCAUGUAUGUAUACAUUUUUUUGGCACAUGCAAUUACAUAUAUAAUGUAUAUAUAUAUAUAUACUAAUUGUACAUAUAACAUCUCCUGUAAUAUAAUAAAAUAUAUGACUGAGAAUAAAA